rnacentral:rRNA from 1 species
UACGGGGGGAGCAAGCGUUGUUCGGAUUUACUGGGCGUAAAGGGCGCGUAGGCGGCCUGUGCAAGUCAGUUGUGAAAUCUCCGAGCUUAACUCGGAACGGUCAACUGAUACUGCUCGGCUAGAGUGCGGAAGGGGCAACUGGAAUUCUUGGUGUAGCGGUGAAAUGCGUAGAUAUCAAGAGGAACACCUGUGGCGAAAGCGGCUCACUGGACCAUUACUGACGCUGAUGCACGAAAGCUAGGGGAGCAAACAGG